AAAUUGAAGAGUUUGAUCAUGGCUCAGAUUGAACGCUGGCGGCAGGCCUAACACAUGCAAGUCGAACGGUAGCACAGAGAGCUUGCUCUCGGGUGACGAGUGGCGGACGGGUGAGUAAUGUCUGGGAAACUGCCCG
rnacentral:rRNA from 1 species